GGGCUUUGGGGGUGGGGGAGGGGCAAUGGGGGGGGGGGGAGGGGCCUUGGGGGGUGGGGGAGGGGCUUUGGGGGGUGGGGGAGGGGCUUUGGGGGGUGGGGGAGGGGCGUCACCUCCAGCCUCAGCCCCUCCAGCGCUGCCGCGGGCCCGUCCUGGCUCCCAGUUCAAACCAGUUCAAACCAGUUCAGACCAGGUCAGACCAGUAACCUCCCAGUUCCCACUCCCAGUAUAAACCAGUUCGGUUUUGGGGGAUCCCAGUUUGGUUUUGGGGGUUCCCAGUUCCCCCCAGUCCCUCCCAGUUUGGUUUUGGGGGUUCCCAGUUUGGUUUUGGGGGUUCCCAGUUACAUUUUGGGAGUUCCCAGCCCCUCCCAGUAUAAACCAGUCCGGCCUGUUCCUCUUCCAGUCCCUCCCAGUCCCCUCCCAGUUCCUCCCAGUCCCUCCCAGUUUGGUUUCGGGCUUCCCAGUCCCUCCCAGUUCCCUCCCAGUUUGGUUUUAGGGGCUCCCAGUUUGGUUUGGGGGUUCCCAGUUACCCCCCAGCCCCUCCCAGUAUAAACCAGUAACCCCAAACCCCCUCCCAGUAUAAACCAGUCCGGCCUGUUCCUCUCCCAGU
rnacentral:lncRNA from 1 species